GCUGAUAAAACCAGUUUGCAGUUUGCAGGGAUGGUCUAACACCUCCCAUGACGGCGGGAUCUGUGGAUUGUUCUUGGCUGAAACUAAAACAGGGUCCCCUUUUUAUAACCUGUAUUCAUUUCACAGACAUGAUCCUCAGUGCUGUUGCCUGUAAAGAAAGCGCAGUGAUGCCAACCCUCAAGAUUAUUUACAAGGCGAAGAGCCCGUCCACAGGGAAAAUCUCUGCCAGACUGAAGCGCUCCGCCAGCUCUGCUCUUGUGCUUAUUUGCCGGACAACCUCACAGGCUGGUGCAACACUCUCCCUCUUUUCAGCCACAGGACGAAAGAGUCACGCUCCCAUAUGUGACACCACCUCCAGGGAGAGCAGAGUUUUGAGCAAUGCCUGUUGCACUAGUUAGGACUUCACCUCUUCUCCCCCGUUGAAGGAUGCCUGUGAGCUGGACUCACGGAUUCUUUGUAAUCAAGCAACCCAAGUCCGUUUCAGAUCGACGUGGGAAAGGGUGCAGUGUUCAGUAGAUGCUGUUGGGAUAGCUGACUAUCCAUUUGGAAGAGUUACACUGAGAUAACGAACGUAAAACCCAGGUCCCUCUGGUUGUGGUGCGAACAGAUGGGAUGAGGACGAGAAUGAAGACCAGGUCAGAAGCCUUCGCAGUGGUCCAGGCGAGACAUAAGGGCUGCGCGGAGUUGGAGAAAAGCAGAUGCAUGCAAGUCCCAUUCUAGAGAUAGCAGCACAGGGCUCGACGGUGCGCUGCAUGUGGGUGGUGAAGGUGAAGGCACCACGAGUGGCUUCCUGACCACUCUCCACCUGUCAGGACGGCUAAAGUGAAAACGCUAACACCACCACACGCUGCUGAGGAUGUGGAGCAACCGAAUCCCUCGCUUACUGCUGGAGGGAGGGCAGAUGGUGCAGCCGCCCUGACAGAGGGACAGAAGGGAUCUCGAAAAGGCAGACACACAAUUACCAUGUGACGCAGCCAUCCCUUGUCCGCGUAUUCAACCUAGAGAAAUGAAAGCUUACACCCACAUAAUACCCUGCACACGAGUGUUUAGAGCAGCCCUGUCCAUAGUUGCCCUGAACUGAAGCAACCCAAACGUCCUUCAGUGCUUUACGACUAAGCAAAUUGCGGUGCAGUCACACAGAGGAGCAAAGUCCUCAGCAAUCAAAGGGAGCAGACGCUGAUGCUCCAGCUGACAGGGAUCAAUCUCGAAGACAUCAUGCUGAGCGAAAGGAGCCAGCCUCAAAAGGCUGAAGACUGGAGGAUUCCAUUUCCAUGACAUCCUUGAAAAAUAAAAGUAUAAUGGUAAAGAAGAAACGGUGGCUGUCGGCAGUUAGUGGGGAGGGACGAUGUGACUAGAACUGCC
rnacentral:lncRNA from 1 species